rnacentral:tRNA from 1 species
GGCGGCGUAGCCAAGUGGCAAGGCAGCGGCCUGCAAAGCCGCGAUACCCCGGUUCGAAUCCGGGCGCCGCCUCCA